rnacentral:lncRNA from 1 species
GUUUUUUUCCAUUUCUUCAUAUAAAAAUUUUCAUAUUGCUGUUUCCAAAUUUAUUUUUCUUAAUUUAUCACUGUUCUGUCUACUAACAGUAGAUAAGGAUUUAUUUAGCUUAAUAAUACUGACCUUUAUAGUCUCAUCCUCACCUCUAUCCAAAGGUACACAUAGGUCCUUCACAGGUCAUUUUUGCACCACUCAACAAUAUUACAUCAUCAUUUCUUGUUCCAUCAUAAUUGAGAGUAUCUACUGAUUUCUUAUUAUGAAGAUAAUGGCAUCCAUGUUCCUACACUUCUUCCACAUUCGUCCUCCCUUCAUCUAUUCUGUUCUUGAGCGACCAAGCUGAGAGUGCCAGAAGUUGGGCAUUUUGUGCCCUCAGGGGGAAAUUACCACUUUUAUGUUUUGGAAAAUAUAAAUUCACUGAGGGAAUGGAUUGCCUAAAAGGGAAUAGGUCUCAGAACACCAGAAAAAGGAGAUGUGGUUUGACCCGGAAAGGAGAGAACCAGAUUUCCUCACUCCUAUUCAAGACUCUGAAGAACUUCUGAAACUGUUGAGAAAGUGUUGUUGAAACCAAAGGGAUUCAGAGGAUGCUAAAGGAAUCUGGAUAAAUUUAAGAAGAAUGCAGGCCAAUUACAGUAACAGAGGUGAAUAUUUUCGUGAGAUCUCAGAUGCCAAUAUCCAGAAGUACACGGCUGGCUCCAGUAUUUUUAAAAAUGUCAAAUCGAAAAAUCAUGUGAAGAUGACAUGGCCCUUUUUUCUCGAGAGCUACCAGUCACACUUCCUAAAUCUUCAUACCCAGGGAGGGUGACCUUCACAGACUACAUGGUUCUCCAGCCAAAUAUAUGCACUUUCCCACUGGAUCCACCAAACAAAUAAAUAAUGGUAAAGCAAGAAAAUUCAAUAUCUUAACUACAAUAAAGUCAUCC